rnacentral:rRNA from 1 species
GUAGGUGGCAAGCGUUGUCCGGAAUUAUUGGGCGUAAAGCGCGCGCAGGUGGUUCUUUAAGUCUGAUGUGAAAGCCCCCGGCUCAACCGGGGAGGGUCAUUGGAAACUGGGGAACUUGAGUGCAGGAGAGGAAAGUGGAAUUCCACGUGUAGCGGUGAAAUGCGUAGAUAUGUGGAGGAACACCAGUGGCGAAGGCGACUUUCUGGCCUGUAACUGACACUGAGGCGCGAAAGCGUGGGGAGCAAACAGGGAUUAGAUACCCUGGUAGUCCACGCCGUAAACGAUGAGUGCUAAGUGUUGGGGGGGGUUUCCGCUCCUCAGUGCUGCAGCUAACGCAUUAAGCACUCCGCCUGGGAGUACGGUCGCAAGACUG